AUUAAUAAAACAAUGAACUUUUAAUAAAAUGACCUAGUAAUAGCAGCUAGUCUGCUAUUCCAUUGAAUUUAGUUUUACUAAAUCCCAUUACUGAAUCAAUGGUUGAUAUUAAUC
rnacentral:misc_RNA from 1 species